rnacentral:lncRNA from 1 species
CCCGCCCCAACGGCCCGCAGAGAAUCACUUGUCUUCGCUGCCAAAAUAAAAUCUAAGUGCAAAGGAAAGAUUAGGAGAUUCCAAGCGGAGCGGCCAGAUUCCAGCAGGGAGAGCAAAAAGCCCUCUCCAAGAGGGGUAGUAAAAGUGAACUUCAAGGUCAGCCUUGCACUGACUCACCACUUUCUACUCUGUCAAACUGUUUUCCCCGUGACACGAGUGCAAUUUUAUCUUUGAUUUCCCCUUAUGCUUAGGAUACAUAAAGUCAAAGGAGAACAUUGCCCUGAUCCUAACAAUAGGAAAGUAUUGGAUGAUCUAUAAAAAUAUAACUUUCUUGGAAGCUAUCAUAGAGCUGAAGUGGUGAGACAACAAAGUAAACCAAAUUCCAAAGAUUGGCAGAUAGGACUCAAAAUGCUUCACUUUGUCAGAGAACGAAGGAAAAAUUUGGUCCAUCAGGUAAGAAGAAAUCCAAAAAACAUUUAAUAAAGACCUAAAGGGUAAAUUUGAGGUAGCAUAAAAGUUUAGAAUAACUGGGAACACCCAGUGCAAGAGAGUUUACACUCACUCCUAAGCUCUUUUCUAUGAAUCUUCUAAGGGGUUCAUGGAAAAGAAUGAGAGCAGGUCAUGACACCAGAAAUACUCCAUGACUGCAAAAUAGAAGUGGAACAAUAUCAAAAUAUGGCUCACUUCCCUGGGCUCUUCUUAUUAAGAAGAAAAAUGCUUUAAGCUGCUGAGGAAGGGAGAGCAAACCAUCUUGUGACCAGGGAUCAGACAAAGAUCCAAUGCUUGAGAAGAAGCAAAAAUGCAUCACUUCCUGGGGAAGGGUCAGUUAGUUCUGCUUUCUGACAUCAGAAACCAAGAAAAUAUUUUAGGAGAGUGAUAGAAUCAAAAUUGUCUGCCACUGGGGGACAGAAGAGAAAACAUUACAGAUCUAUAGACACAGAGAUAUACUAUUUCUAGGAACAAGGAGGAGUAAAAUUCUCUCUCCUGUUUAAGAACAUCCACAGAUAUGUCUGACUAUGGCUAUCAUUGAGAUGAGAGAAACAAGACUAAUACCAAACCUGCCUUUCUGACCCUCGGGGACACAAGUAUUGUCUACAAUUGAGAUCUCACUAGAAGAACCAAAAACCCACUCCCUGCCCCCACCAUGAGCCUAGAAUGGAAUAAUAAACAGUGGUAGAGAGAAAAUGUGAAGAGAAACCCACUAUUUGACACAGUCAUGCAACAGAUUUGGAAAGCUGUGGAUGAAGCAGAAAUACUGAAAAACCUAGCACUAUGGUUCAGGCAGCCCACCACUGAAGCAGUUUGAAGGAUAACAACAUCAACAAUACAACACAAAUCCAACUGAAUCAUUUACUGCCAUUGUUAACAGAAGAGUUGUAUUCAUUUCCAGCUGUAAAUAUUCUUUAUCUCAGACUCUACUGUUCUUCAGUUGACCAUGUUCAGCGUAAUUCUAAAAUUACGUGGCAAACAAAGAAGCAAGAAAAAAAAAAAAAAA